rnacentral:rRNA from 1 species
UGGACUAGGGGCCCUUCUCGGGUUACCGAAUUCAGAUAAACUCCGAAUGCCAUGUACUUAUACUCGGGAGUCAGACUGCGAGUGAUAAGAUCCGUAGUCGAAAGGGAAACAGCCCAGACCACCAGUUAAGGUCCCCAAAUAUAUGUUAAGUGGAAAAGGAUGUGGGGUUGCUUAGACAACCAGGAUGUUGGCUUAGAAGCAGCCACCAUUGAAAGAGUGCGUAAUAGCUCACUGGUCGAGUGACCCCGCGCCGAAAAUGUACCGGGGCUAAACAUAUUACCGAAACUGUGGAUGAACCUCUUUAGAGGUUCGUGGUAGGAGAGCGUUCUAAGGGCGGUGAAGUCAGACCGGAAGGACUGGUGGAGCGCUUAGAAGUGAGAAUGCCGGUAUGAGUAGCGAAAGAAGGGUGAGAAUCCCUUCCACCGAAUAUCUAAGGUUUCCUGAGGAAGGCUCGUCCGCUCAGGGUUAGUCGGGACCUAAGCCGAGGCCGAUAGGCGUAGGCGAUGGACAACAGGUAGAGAUUCCUGUACCAGUGCUAAUUGUUUAACCGAUGGGGUGACACAGAAGGAUAGGGAAUCGCACGAAUGGAAAUGUGCGUCCAAGCAGUGAGUGUGAGAAGUAGGCAAAUCCGCUUCUCGCGAAGCAUGAGCUGUGAUGGGGAAGGAAAUUAAGUACGGAAGUUCCUGAUUUCACGCUGUCAAGAAAAGCCUCUAGGAAGAGUAGUACUGCCCGUACCGCAAACCGACACAGGUAGAUGAGGAGAGAAUCCUAAGGUGAGCGAGAGAACUCUCGUUAAGGAACUCGGCAAAAUGACCCCGUAACUUCGGGAGAAGGGGUGCUCUAUUAGGGUGCAAGCCCGAGAGAGCCGCAGUGAAUAGGCCCAGGCGACUGUUUAGCAAAAACACAGGUCUCUGCAAAACCGUAAGGUGACGUAUAGGGGCUGACGCCUGCCCGGUGCUGGAAGGUUAAGAGGAGUGCUUAGCUUCGGCGAAGGUACGAAUUGAAGCCCCAGUAAACGGCGGCCGUAACUAUAACGGUCCUAAGGUAGCGAAAUUCCUUGUCGGGUAAGUUCCGACCCGCACGAAAGGCGCAACGAUCUGGGCACUGUCUCAACGAGAGACUCGGUGAAAUUAUAGUACCUGUGAAGAUGCAGGUUACCCGCGACAGGACGGAAAGACCCCGUGGAGCUUUACUGCAACCUGAUAUGGAAUGUUUGUACCGCUUGUACAGGAUAGGUAGGAGCCGAAGAGACGUGUGCGCUAGCAUACGAGGAGGCAAUGGUGGGAUACUACCCUGGCUGUAUGACCAUUCUAACCCGCCACGCUUAGCGCGUGGGGAGACAGUGUCAGGUGGGCAGUUUGACUGGGGCGGUCGCCUCCUAAAGAGUAACGGAGGCGCCCAAAGGUUCCCUCAGAAUGGAUGGAAAUCAUUCGCAGAGUGUAAAGGCACAAGGGAGCUUGACUGCGAGACUGACAAGUCGAGCAGGGACGAAAGUCGGGCUUAGUGAUCCGGUGGUUCCGCAUGGAAGGGCCAUCGCUCAACGGAUAAAAGCUACCCCGGGGAUAACAGGCUUAUCUCCCCCAAGAGUCCACAUCGACGGGGAGGUUUGGCACCUCGAUGUCGGCUCGUCGCAUCCUGGGGCUGUAGUCGGUCCCAAGGGUUGGGCUGUUCGCCCAUUAAAGCGGCACGCGAGCUGGGUUCAGAACGUCGUGAGACAGUUCGGUCCCUAUCCGUCGCGGGCGCAGGAAAUUUGAGAGGAGCUGUCCUUAGUACGAGAGGACCGGGAUGGACACACCGCUGGUGUACCAGUUGUUCCGCCAGGAGCAUCGCUGGGUAGCUAUGUGUGGCAGGGAUAAACGCUGAAAGCAUCUAAGCGUGAAGCCCCCCUCAAGAUGAGAUUUCCCAUUUCUUCGGAAAGUAAGAUCCCUGAAAGAUGAUCAGGUAGAUAGGUUUGGAGUGGAAGUGUAGCGAUACAUGGAGCGGACAAAUACUAAUCGAUCGAGGACUUAACCAAAA